UCCCAAUUGGUGGACGGGCCAACAGUUUUAGUUGAGCCAAAGGCUUUCAGCAGUUAAUAGCGCAAAAUUGUGUCUUUCCCCAGCGGACAAAAAAGCAAGCAAAUUCAAUCAAGAUGAGCGAAGCCCGUAACUUGUUCACCACCUUUGGCAUCCUGGCCAUCCUGCUUUUCUUCCUUUACCUCAUCUAUGCCGUAUUGUAAAAUGUUUCCGGCAAGUAGAUGGUCCUUAGCGGAACAAAAGCCAGCAGCCAAAUCAAACCAAUCAACAUGAAUGAGGCCAAAAGUUUGUUCACCACCUUCCUCAUCCUGGCCUUCCUGCUGUUCCUGCUCUACGCCUUCUACGAAGCCGCCUUCUAGGCCCACAUCCCCACCAUGAUCACCAUGACCACCAGUACCACCAC
rnacentral:sRNA from 1 species